rnacentral:rRNA from 1 species
CCUGGGCGUUCGAGUGGAAUGGCAUUGAGUAGCUUGCUCUCAAGAAGUUAGCGGCGGACGGGUGAGUAACACGUGGGUAACCUGCCCAUAAGACUGGGAUAACUCCGGGAAACCGGGGCUAAUACCGGAUAAUAUUUUGAACUGCAUGGUUCGAAAUUGAUUGGCGGCUUCGGCUGUCACUUAUGGAUGGACCCGCGUCGCAUUAGCUAGUUGGUGAGGUAACGGCUCACCAAGGCCGAUGCGUAGCCGACCUGAGAGGGUGAUCGGCCACACUGGGACUGAGACACGGCCCAGACUCCUACGGGAGGCAGCAGUAGGGAAUCUUCCGCAAUGGACGAAAGUCUGACGGAGCAACGCCGCGUGAGUGAUGAAGGCUUUCGGGUCGUAAAACUCUGUUGUUAGGGAAGAACAAGUGCUAGUUGAAUAAGCUGGCACCUUGACGGUACCUAACCAGAAAGCCACGGCUAACUACGUGCCACCGCCGCGGUAAUACGUAGGUGGCAAGCGUUAUCCGGAAUUAUUGGGCGUAAAGCGCGCGCAGGUGGUUUCUUAAGUCUGAUGUGAAAGCCCACGGCUCAACCGUGGAGGGUCAUUGGAAACUGGGAGACUUGAGUGCAGAAGAGGAAAGUGGAAUUCCAUGUGUAGCGGUGAAAUGCGUAGAGAUAUGGAGGAACACCAGUGGCGAAGGCGACUUUCUGGUCUGUAACUGACACUGAAAGCGUGGGGAGCAGGAUUAGAUACCCUGGUAGUCCACGCCGUAAACGAUGAGUGCUAAGUGUUAGAAGGUUUCCGCCCCUUUAGUGCUGAAGUUAACGCAUUAAGCACUCCGCCUGGGGAGUACGGCCGCAAGGCUGAAACUCGGGGGAAUUGACGGGGGCCCGCACAAGCGGUGGAGCAUGUGUAAUUCGAAGCAACGCGAAGAACCUUACCAGGUCUUGACAUCCUCUGAAAACCCUAGAGAUAGGGCUUCUCCUUCGGGAGCAGAGUGACAGGUGGUGCAUGGUUGUCGUCAGCUCGUGUCGUG